rnacentral:rRNA from 1 species
AACGGCCAUACCAUGCUGAAUAUACCGGUUCUCGUUAGAUCACCGAAGUCAAGCAUCAUUGGGCACGGUCAGUACUUGGGUGGGUGACCACCUGGGAACACCGUGUGCCGUU